rnacentral:rRNA from 1 species
GAUGAACGUUGGCGGUGUGCCUAAUACAUGCAAGUCGAACGGAGACUGUAGCAAUACUGUCUUAGUGGCGAACGGGUGAGUAACGCGUUGGUGAUCUGCCUCGAAGUGUGGAAUAACCUCCCGAAAGGGAAGCUAAUACCGCAUAGUCUCUCAAGGUUUAGAAAAUUGAGAGUAAAGGAUUUAUUCGCUUCGAGAGGAGCCUGCGUCCCAUCAGCUAGUUGGUAGGGUAACGGCCUACCAAGGCAAUGACGGGUAGGGGACCUGAGAGGGUGGCCCCCCACAAUGGAACUGAAACACGGUCCAUACACCUACGGGUGGCAGCAGUAGGGAAUAUUAGUAAUGGGCGAAAGCCUGAGCUAGCAACGCCGCGUGUGCGAAGAAGGCCUUCGGGUUGUAAAGCACUUUUUGAGAGGAUGAGGAAGGACGGUACUCUCAGAAUAAGUCUCGGCUAACUACGUG